CUGGCCAGGUGUGGCUUCUGGGCAGGCUCCGACCUCUGCGUGCCCUUGGUCUGGAAGCCAGCCCGGGAGCAAGCGGUGAGGUUUGGCCAGCCCAGUCCUGGGCCGGCGAGGGACCUGCCAGACUGACCCUAGUAAAGGGGCCAGGCCCGAGGAACUCCCUCCCUCGCUCCCUUCUGUCUUUGCCUUCUGCCCGCUCUCCCUCGCCCCUUUUCUCCGCCUUUUCCGCGCUCCAUCUUGCCCUCCUCCCUCCUUCGCCCCCGCUCCUACUCUCCCCUUCUUUCCCUCUCUCCCCACCCCCUCCCUUUCUGGGGCAGGCGUUUCUCCGAGGCGCACUGAGGCUCCGGGGCGAGUCCGCGCAGCGCGAGCUGGGGAAAGCCGUCCGGGGCUCCCGAUGACCCUGCACUCCGCCGGGAGGCCGCCCUUCGGAAAAGCCGUGGAAACACACCCGGAUUGAAAUGCCCCUGGCCCGCCUGACCCGACCCUAGGAGAAGCAGCCGAGUUACCCGACAUCGUGGUCAGCAGGAGCUGGGUCGGUGGCUGGAUGCUGCAGCUGCAGGGACUCAGCGCCUGGGAGGGCUCCUGGGGCAGGGAGAGAAGCAGAGAUGCAACAUUUUUAAAGUUUCACAAAGCAUCCGGCUGCACCCAGAUCUGAGUGGAUGAUCAGGCCCAGAGCAACCCUGAGACCCCAGGUACCCACAGCAUUGGCUGUUCUUCAUAGGAGACUCAGAGAAGACUUCAUAGGAGACUCAUUAUUGUUUACUGGACAUCAGGUGCUAUAUUGUAUAGCAUUCACAUUCCACAGGUGAGGAAACAGGCUCAGAGGAAUAAGUGGCAUACCAAGAUCAUUGAGUAUAUCAGUAGCAGAAUUAGGAUUCAGACUUUGAUAGGCCUAACUCCAAAGCCCUGCCUUUUUUUUUUUUGAGAUGGAAUCUUACUCUGUCACCAGGCUGGAGUGCAGUGGCAUGAUCUCAGCUCACUGCAACCUCUGCCUCCUGGGUUCAAGUGAUUCCCCUGCCUUAGCCUCCUGAGUAGCUGGGACUACAGGCAUGCACCACCACGCCCAGCUAAUUUUUGUAUUUUUAGUAGAGAGGAGGUUUCGCCGUGUUGGCCAGGAUGGUCUCGAUCUCUUGACCUUGUGAUCUGCCUGCCUCGGCCUCCCAAAGUACUGGGAUUAUAGGCAUGAGCCAUCAUGCCCGGCCUUUGCUCUUAACUACUGAUGUUGUCUUCCUGAUCUUUUCUACAAGAAGCUUUUAAACUUUUUGGACUUUAACCUACAAUAAGAAAUCCGUUUUACAUGUUCACAUGUAUCUAUAACAACAUUUAUAUUUCUAAAACAAACUUUUCAUGAAACAACAUAUACCUACGUAUGUCAGGCACUCUGGUAUUUUCUAUUCUAGUCCACCUUUUCCAUUUCAUUCUAUUUAUGGGAAAUAUAUGUUGGUUGGGAGUCACUAAUUUAAUGACCCACUAAUAGGCUGUGAGUGGCACUGGAAAAAUACCUGCUUGUAAGAUAUGCAAACACACGUUUCAAGGUUGUUUGUGCAUGUGGAAAUAUUUUGGGGUGCUAUCUGUUUUACCAUCAGUUUGUACAAGGACACUAAGACAGUGUAGCCUGCUGACUUGAGAAUGUUCUGUAAGGACUGGAAACACUAGAACCUUGAAGAAAUGCCUGGCUAGAGGUGAGGGUGAGCUGUUAAUUACGCUGAUUACAGUUUGUGCCUCUCAGACUGAGAACUCUUUUCUUCUUGCUGGGGGCAUUGCUACCUCUAGGAUGUUUGCCCUGAAGUCCUGAUAGUCUCUUUGGGGUUUUAAUAAAUGGCUGAAAAAAUUGUUGUGGGGUUUCAACAGGCGUUCAUAGGCACCCUUGCUUGGCAAUAUAACAUGGCUUUUGAUGUUUGGGUGUUGGAAGGGAUCUUUGAAGUGCUGAGAGGGACUCAGUCUUUUUCCAAAAUCUCUGCUUGUGUCUGUCCAGCCUCUGGCUCCACUGCUUGGCUGAGAUCCUGGCCCAUAGUAGAAUCUGUGUAGAGGAAACGAGAGCUCACUAUUUGUGAGGCAGCCUGUUCCACUAUUGGACUGCUUUAAAUGUAGUGAUCAGUGAUUAUGCUAUAAUCCAAUCAUGUAUUAAUUGGGCACCAACUAUGCACUAGGCAUGGUAUCAAGUACCAGGAGUACAAAAAUAAGUAAACCUUGAUUUCUGCUAUCAAUUACUCUCUUCUCCUACUUCUGUACUACUGCUUUUCUAUUGUGAGUUUGUUUAGUUCAUUAAUUGGUUCAUUCAUUCAUUCAAUAAUCAUAUACUGAUUAGCUACUGUGACCAGGUCCAGUACUAACUCUAAAGAAGUUAUGCCCAUCCCAUCUUCACCCCAAGCCUUCUCCUUUUGAGACUCCUCAUCCAGUUUCUCUAGUUCUUCAUAUAUCACUGUUUUUCAGAUCUCUGGCUAUCCUUGCCAUUGACCUCAGAAAUCCUGUAUUUGACCUUAACCUUCUUAUACCCAGUCCGUACCCAAAGUGAUGGAAAUGGAAUAGAUUUCUUUUUAAAGUUUUAAACUGAAUAUUUUGACUGAAAAAUUUUGGCAGUCUUGUAUGCAAAUGACACUGCAGAGCAUUGUUUUCUCCCCCCCACGUAGGAGAUUUUAUUCAACUUAGGCACAGGCAUAUUAAAAGACUUUCAGUAUAAGGAAAAGGGGUAGUUUAUUCCCUCCAAAUUUGACUACAGCUCAAAAUUGUCUUUAUUAAUGCAAAGUUCUUUUGUCACCUUGACUUUGGGACACUGUUACCAAACCUUGUGGGAAAUAUCAAGUUCCAGAAGAUUGAAUACAUGCAGGAAACAAAUGUUUUUUGGGCCCUAGAGUGAACAUUUGGUCCAUAUGAAAAUGACCAGGAAGACAAUUAGGUGAAGGUUUUUUAACGAUUUGUGCUACGUCAGUCUCUUCCCAUAAGACAUAUUCAAAGUUUUAACUUUUCCUUAAGAGGCUUCCAUGGGGAGCAAGCAUUUGAUAAUUCAUCCUUUAACUAAGAAAAACACCACCGUACACUGCUUGAAGAGUUCCUCUUCUAUUACUUAAAACGUUUUUAUUGUGCAACAUUUGAGGCAUACAAAAACAUAUAAAGAAUACCAUGAUGAAAAUCUAUGACUGUAUUACCAAGCUUAAGAAAUAAAACAGUUGAGUGAUCUCUCAUUUAUGACUAAAUUAACUUAUUAAAACCAUUAAAACUUUUGGAUUAUUCCUGUUAAGAUAUUUUCUUUUUUUAUUAUUAUGCUUUAAGUUCUUGGGUACAUGUGCACAAUGUGCAGGUUUGUUACAUAUGUAUACAUGCACCAUGUUGGUGUGCUGCACCCAUUAACUCGUCAUUUACAUUAGGUAUAUCUCCUAAUGCUAUCCCUCCCCCCUCCCCCCACCCCAUGACAGGUCCCGGUGUGUGAUGUUCCCCACUCUGUGUCCAAGUGUUCUCAUUGUUCAAUUCCCACCUAUGAGUGAGAACAUGCGGUGUUUGGUUUUUUGUCCUUGCAAUAGUUUGCUGAGAAAGAUGGUGUCCAGCUUCAUCCAUGUCCCUGCAAAGGACAUGAACUCAUCCUUUUUAUGGCUGCAUAGUAUUCCAUGGUGUAUAUGUGCCACAUUUUCUUAAUCCAGUCUAUCAUUGUUGGACAUUUGGGUUGGUUCCAAGUCUUUGCUAUUGUGAAUAGUGCCUCAAUAAACAUAUAUGUGCAUGUGUCUUUAUAGCAGCAUGAUUUAUAAUCCUUGGGUAUAUACCCAGUAAUGGGAUGGCUGGGUCAAAUGGUAUUUCUAGUUCUAGAUCCCUGAGGAAUCGCCACACUGUCUUCCACAAUGGUUGAACUAGUUUACAGUCCCACUAACAGUGUAAAAGUGUUCCUAUUUCUCCACAUCCUCUCCAGCACCUGUUGUUUCCUGACUUUUUAAUGAUCGGCAUUCUAACUGGUGUGAGAUGGUAUCUUGUUGUGGUUUUGAUUUGCAUUUCUCUGACGGCCAGUGAUGAUGAGCAUUUUUUCAUGUGUCUGUUGGCUGCAUAAAUGUCUUCUUUUGAGAAGUGUCUGUUCAUAUCC